rnacentral:lncRNA from 1 species
GCUAGCCAGAGCUGCAAGCAGCCUUACACGUUCGAAGGGCUGUAACACAGCAGGUGCAGCUGCAGAUUCUGGUCCCAGUGCCGCAGUAACAGAAAGAGCCCCCGGGCAGCGGCCUUAAGAGCAGUCAGAUCAAGGCCAUCUGGCAGGCGUUGAGCCCUCAGCCAGCAGUCAGCUUUGGAAGCUGUUAGUUCCCACUCGCCGAAGGCAGCUGCGCAGCGGUGUUCCAACCAUGCCAGGGCCACGGCUGUGGCCCAGGUGCGCCCACGGAGAUCCGAGCUUUCCCUCUCUUCCAUUCUUUCCGACGCCUCGGUGUCCGAGCCUCUCCCACUGUCUGCCUGGCCUGGGCCUUCAGAACCCGAGCUGGAGGGUUGACUGCAGGAGGCUGUGGCACUGUCACCUUGGCCAACACCAGGGCCCAGAAAUGCCCAAGGAGAUGAGGUUGAGGUGGGGCUGAGGCUGGCGCGGUGUGCAGCAAAGGGAGAGGCUCGACACAGGCGUUCCUGAGGAAUGCUCACAGCAGCACAGAAGGGUUCAUCCAGGCGGAAGGAGCCUGGAGCCUCUUGCAGUCGUACCUGAGGAGAGAAGAGGUGGGGGGAGAGGGAGCUGAGACAGAGCUCUGGCUCUAAUGGUACUACCCUCCACCUCCCCAGUCCUCACCAAAGGCAGGUAGUCAUGGCUGCUGGCUUCGUUGCUGUUCUCAUGAGUCUGGCCCUUAUUGGAGCUGCAAAGUCUGCGAUGAUGACCCAGGCUGAGCCUGGAAGAGGCUGGAGGCUGGUGGGGCAAGCCAUGAUGACCUCCAGUAGGAGAUAUGGACUCCCCCAAUGCUGACUUGGAGUUGUCAUUUAGGUCCAGGUCCCAGGCACCUGCAGAACAGCCUCCCUGAUGUCCUACAGUAGGGUCACCCAGUACCAGCAAGUGGUUCAAAGCCCACCUGUGCCCAGUCCAUUACAUUUGAGCCAUACCUUUAGAGUGGACUGCUGUGGACAGAGGGGCAACAGCUAGAUGGUCUUGAGAGGCAGACACGCCUGAGAACUCAGCUGGAUCUGAGAGGGUACGGGAGUUAGUCCCACUGGGUUGCCAGUGAGGUGAGGGUCACAUCUUAGAGGGCAUCAGAGGAGGUCCAUACCUGAACUCCACACCUGCAGGGCUCCGGGCAAGACCUCCCUAGUGGUAGCAUCUACAGCAACAGGGCAAGUAAAGCAGGAUGGGGCCGAGCUGACCUUGCUUGUCUGAAUGGCUCUGAGCCAGGACCUUCUGACUCUGCCUGUAAAUGGAAGCCGUAGCAAGCUCAACUCUCACUAUAAAAAGCUGCAUUAAAAAUGCUGGAAAUGUGGGUUCCCAGAGCAAAGGGUGUCUCUGUCUCUGUUCCCUGCCAUUGGACUGCCAGGUUGGGCCUCAGCGGGAGAGGAUGUGCCUAGUCCUGCUGGGACCACAUAUCCCAGGGUGGGGUGGUGCUCAAACAGGGCUCCCCUUCUCUGAGGAGAAGGGAAGGGA